UCAGGGGGAGAUCACAAACACCUGAGUGACCUACAGCCCAGAAGCAUCUCCAGGACCAACACAACCAUUAAAAGAUGCUUUAGAUUCCUCACAUCUGGAUACCUUUGGAGCAGAAACUAUCAGUUUAUAAUAAAAUGGAAAAAAGAAACCCAGAGAUGUUAAAAAGGACUUCAGAUCGUUUUCCUUGGGGAUCUACCUGCUGGUUCUAAUGAAGCAAACUCUGAUGGACCUCAGAUGAAGAGACUCCGCAGAGAGACUCAGAUGUUGCUGUGAAAGAUCAUCUUCUGGUUGGUGAGGAGGACAACUGAGUCAGAGGCUGACGAUGCUCAGAGAAACUGAUGAGUUUCUGCAGAAGAAGAGAAUCUGAUGCGUUAAUGUGCUGCUCCGGCUGCAGGUCAGAUUCAGUGGGAGGCCUCGGUCCUCUCUAGAUCAGGACUGGUGCUUAAUUGAGAAACUGGACCUCUGAUCUGUGUUCAUGGAGGUGGAUUUAUUUGAGGUGUAGGUGGAUGUUGUUCAGCUUCCUGAGUUUAGAUCUUCAACCAUCUGUGGAGUUUUCCUGAACCAGGCUGUCCUUUCCUGUUUGUUUCUGUGUUAGUGUUGGAACCUUUUCAUUUGGUUCACUUUGAUCUAGAUAUGACCCAGAGGAUGCAGAAGUUCUUAAGAACCAGGUGAAGCAGUCUAAACUGGCAACCGGGGGAGACCAAGAUUGGGUUAAAAAGUAAAAAUAAUAAAAUCAACUAAAAGCCUGCAGACUGACACCACUGCUCCUCCUGAUGCUCUUCUUCUGGUGCUUUCUCCAUCUCCCUCCCCCACUUCUUCAGAACUUUCACUAAAAUCUCAUUAUUGUCUGGUGGAAACAGGGAGAUGUUUUAUUAUUUUACACAACGGCUUUCUGAGAGAUGCAUGUAAAGGUGGAGGACCCCCCCAACACAUACUUUAAUCUGUGUUUUGCAAUAAUAAAUGCUAAUUCUUGAUUGUCAUAUGAGCACAGAAGGGCAGCUCUGGGGUCCUGAGGAUGUAAGUAAGGGAGACCAGUUUAGCAGACCAGAGGCGACUGAAGCACCAGAGCAUCAUCUGACCUCACUCUUAGUUUGAGUUGGAACAUAAAGUUAGAAAUAAAACAUUUAAGAGUAAAAAACCUCAAACUUUAAGUGUGGAAAUGCAAUAAAUCUCCAUUAUACAACCAA